rnacentral:rRNA from 1 species
UACGUAGGGGGCAAGCGUUGUCCGGAAUCAUUGGGCGUAAAGCGCGUGUAGGCGGCCCGAUAAGUCCGCUGUGAAAGUCCAGGGCUCAACCCUGGAAAGCCGGUGGAUACUGUCGGGCUAGAGUCCGGAAGAGGCGAGUGGAAUUCCUGGUGUAGCGGUGGAAUGCGCAGAUAUCAGGAGGAACACCAAAGGCGAAGGCAGCUCGCUGGGACGGUACUGACGCUGAGACGCGAAAGCGUGGGGAGCGAACAGG